GUUGUAUGGUUAAGUGACUAAGCGUACACGGUGGAUGCCUUGGCAGUCAGAGGCGAUGAAGGACGUAGUAACUUGCGAUAAGCGUAGAUGAGGCAGUAACAGCCACUUGAGUCUACGAUUUCCGAAUGGGGAAACCCACUGGCAUAAGCCAGUAUCAUUGAGUGAAUACAUAGCUCAAUGAAGCGAACCGGGAGAACUGAAACAUCUAAGUACCCCGAGGAAAAGAAAUCAACCGAGAUUCCGAAAGUAGCGGCGAGCGAAAUUGGAUUAGCCC
rnacentral:rRNA from 1 species